rnacentral:lncRNA from 1 species
CUGGCUUCCUUGGUGAUGAACAGCAGUAUGGAAGUGUAAGCCAAAUAAACCCUUUCCUCCCCAUCUUGCUUCUUGGUCAUGAUGUUUGUGCAGGAAUAGAAACCCUGACUAAGACAAAUUGGUACCAGGAGUGGGGUAUUCCUGUGACAACCUGACCAUGUUUUGGGGAGGACUGUGGAAGGACUUUGGAACUUUGGGCUUGAAGAUCCAUCCGUUGUUAAAUCUCUGUCGGAUGUUGUGUAGGAGUUUGGAAGAUAAUGUUGAGAACACUGCAGAAGAUGGAGGUCUGGUUUGUGAAAUUUCAGAGGGAAAAUUAAAGACUCUUUUCAGGGCCAUUGCUGUUUUGAUUGUGAAGAUUCUGUAGUUCUGGUUAGCUGGGGCUGAAGAAUCAGCUGUGAUUAACAAGAUACCAGAACUACCAAAGCAAAAACUUUGCAUUACUGGGACUAUUGAUGCUGGUUAGCUGGAGCUAAGAAAUUAGCGGUGAUUAAGAAGAGACCAGCAUCAUUGAGGUGACAUCUUCUGGGAAGUGUUUUCUGAAAGCACAAAGAGGCUGUGUUCCAGAGAUGGCCAAGGUUGUACUCCUGCUGCAGUGGGUCUUGGUAAUAUGUAAGUGUCACACAGGUGGUACUGGUUUUGAAGGCAUGAAGGGGUCACGCAAAGCAGCUGAGGUUUGGCACUGUGAGAGGCCAUGGAAGGCCAUUGGUGAAGGUGCAGCCUCAGUUGCAAUUGACGGCCCAGGACUGAAGGGGUCAUGCAGCCUUUUGGAGAUGCCAGUACCAUGAGAUGAUCACCAAGAGCAGCAGCAGCAGUGGAGUACAGGCAUCUGGAGCCUAGAGGACUACGCGUGUGCUACAAGGGGCAUGGCUGGAGAAGUGACCCAAGCCCUUGGAGGAGCCCAGAAGAUCGUGAGUUGGAUCCCAGACAUUGGAUGGUUGGAGAUUGACUUUUGCUUUUGAUUGUGACUGUGCCCUGAUAUUUUCCCUCUUGAAGGAAGAAACUGUUUUAGUGGAGCCCACAGUUAAGAGACUUUUAAUUGUAAAAAGACUUUGGAUUUUAAAAGAGAUGGAUAUUUUAAAGAGAUUGAAAAUUUAAGAAUAUGUAAAGACUGUGGGACUUUUAAAGUUAUUUAGAUCUUGGGGAUGAAUAAGAAUGUAAGGGUUGAGGCUUACUAGUGAUGUGUUUGUGUGUCAAGUUGACAAGGGAUCAAUUGUACUGUCUAGUUUUGUGUCAACUUGACACAGCUGGAGUUACCACAGAGAAAGGAGCUUCAGUUGAGGAAAUGCCUCCAUGAGAUACAACUGUAAGGCAUUUUCUCAAUUAGUGAUCAAGGGGGAAGGGCCCCUUGUAGGUGGGACCAUCUCUGGGCUGGCUGUCUUGG